GUCCUAGCCGUAACGAUGAGCACUAGGUGUUAGAGGUUUACCUUUAGCGCCGCAAGUUAACACGUUAAGUGCUCCACCUGGGGACUACGACCGCAAGGUUAAACUCAAAGGAAUUGACGGGGCCCGCACAAGCGGUGGAACAUGUGGUUCAAUUCGACGCUACGCGAAGAACCUCACCAGGGCUUGACAUGUAGGAAGUAGGAACCUGAAAGGGGGACAACCUGUCAAGUCAGGAGCCUGCACAGGUGUUGCAUGGCUGUCGU
rnacentral:rRNA from 1 species